rnacentral:rRNA from 1 species
CCUACGGGCGGCAGCAGUGGGGAAUAUUGGACAAUGGGCGAAAGCCUGAUCCAGCCAUGCCGCGUGUGUGAAGAAGGCCUUCGGGUUGUAAAGCACUUUCAGUGGGGAAGAAAGCCUAGGGGCUAAUACCCUCGAGGAAGGACAUCACCCACAGAAGAAGCACCGGCUAACUCCGUGCCAGCAGCCGCGGUAAUACGGAGGGUGCGAGCGUUAAUCGGAAUUACUGGGCGUAAAGCGCGCGUAGGCGGUCUGAUAAGCCGGUUGUGAAAGCCCCGGGCUCAACCUGGGAACGGCAUCCGGAACUGUCAGGCUAGAGUGCAGGAGAGGAAGGUAGAAUUCCCGGUGUAGCGGUGAAAUGCGUAGAGAUCGGGAGGAAUACCAGUGGCGAAGGCGGCCUUCUGGACUGACACUGACGCUGAGGUGCGAAAGCGUGGGUAGCAAACAGGAUUAGAUACCCUAGUAGUC